ensembl:lncRNA
AAAUUUAAAAAAAAGAGAGAGAGAGAGGGCAAGGGAAGAACCAGGGGACUGGAGAGGAGCAGAAGGAACGAGAGAGAAGUCGGGGGCAGGGGGGCCUCUUCACCAGCCCCUGCCCACAGCGUGCCUUCCCGCCUGUGUGUGCACACACACGCUCCAUGUGCACACAUUCUGUGCACACACCAUCUACACACACCCAUGCUGUCUGCUCACACCAGCUGCCACUCAUCCAAACAUCGCCUGUACACACACACAGAGGUCACGCUGUCUAUGCACAAGCACCCCACACACACACAAACACACUCAGCACACGCCCACCACCCAUGUCCUGAGGGUGCAGCCUGGGGCUCCAGUCCCUGGAGGCGGGCCCAGGGGAGACUUGUGAGCUGAGGGGCUCCAAGACAGGAGAGGACCGCAAGUGAUAGAGCCGGCCCCCGGAAGGUGCCCCCCAGCCUGGAGGGCCAGGACUGCAGGCAGGUGUGGGGAGAGCCACGGCCCCUGUCACUGCCUGGUUACCCCAGGUGUGCCCUGCCUCUCUCUCUUACUACAGGGCACCCACAGCUGCCACCGUUCACAGCUGCACCAGCCCCUCAAACUGGCCGCCCUGGUCUGCGUCCCACCUCAGCUGGGUGGGCUCUGGAAGGCACAGCUGCUGCAGGAGCCCUCCACCUCAGAGAAGGCCCACCGCCGCCGAGGCCGCGCUCCUGCGGGGCCAGACCUCCCCACCCCCACAAGGCACCUGCACACUUGCCCAGAAGCCCCAGGCUGGGCCAUGCACACAGCAGGCACUCACUCAAGGCUUGCCAAGCCACCUCUCUUUAAGCACCAUGGGACAAGAUCGAACCCUGACAAAAGUUCUCGUCCCCGCGCUCCACCCCAGGACAAGCAGGACUGGGGAGGACGGGGCCAAGGUGAGGGGCACAGGCCCGAGAGGCUCAGCAUCUGGGAUCUCCCCAACUCAGGCCUCUUCCCAGAGAAUCUCAUUUUCUCCGGUUUUUUCUUUUUUGGAAAAAAAAAUGACAUUUUGAAACAUUAUUGUGAAAAAUUAAUUUAGGCCUGAAGCAUCAAAGACAUUUUGCAAACAAAACUAAGGCAUCUAUGCGUGGCCACUGCCUGAGCUGAAAACCCCCGGGGGCCUUGGCCAGCCCUCCAUCCCCAAGGGGAGAAGCAGCUGUACCCACCCGAAACUGCUCUCCUGGGAAAAGCACGGCCUGAUUCCAGGGCCCGGGGAAGAGGAGAGUAAUCACACGCAUGCAAGGGCAUGGCAGCCGCUGGCUUCCAAGGCAGGGUGACCUUUUGUCAACUUCGGACAGGAACACAAAUCUCCCUACCAUCACGCUGGAUCGGCCUUGAUUGGAUCAAAAUCCCAUCGGAAAACAGGGGGGAGGAAAGGCAAUAAAACCUCCAGAAUUGAUAUUAAACCACUGACAUUUCACAAACCGAGCGGCACGGGCAGCUGCCAGUCUAACAGCAGGAGGAACUCUGAAGGGGCAAGUCAGGCAUGAAGGUCACGGCAGCGCGGAGCCUCUCUCAGGCCCAGGCGUCAGCACCAAGGGGGCUGGGGCCCAGACGGCAGGCUGGAGCAAGCCCCUGCCUGGCAGAGCUGCCCCUGAGCCCUGUCCGCGUGCCUGCCUGGUGCGCCCGAGCGGGGGACACCAGGGGGUCUCAGAGCCUCGCGGACCAGACGCUCUGCGGCUCUGAGGCCAAAGGUGACACGGCGCUCAGAACCUGUGCCUGGGCCCUACUGGACCUAUUGUGGCCUCACAUGGGGUUGGGCCCCAUCCAGCGCUAGACUGGGAGAGACUAC